UCUUGGUUCUACUCCCAUGGAGCCCAGAUUUUUUUUUAAACAUGGACAUUGUGUUUCUGAUCUUGGCUGUCAAUUUGUCCAUUAAGUAAGUAUCUUUUAUUUUUGAGUAACAUGAACUAGUGGGGGCUCUUUUGGUUUAAGUCAUGAUUGACCUAAUGUUAUACAUGCUGCCAGAGCUAAAAUGUGUAAAAGCCUCUACUUCUUUGUAAGCAUUCUCUCAAUGGGUGACAGCUCUCUUAAGGUCCCCUCCACAGCACGUCAAUUGGGUUGAGGUCUGGACUACGACUGGGCCAUUGCAAUACCUUUAUUCUUUUCUUUUUCAGCCAUUUAGUUGUAGAUUUUCUGGUGUGCUUAGGAUCAUUGUCCUGUUGCAUGAAACAAUUUCGGCCAAGCUGAAGCUAUCGGACAGAUGCCCUCACAUUUUACCGUAGAAUACUUUGGUAAACAGAAGAGUUUAUGGUCGACUCAGUGACUACAAGGUUCCCAAGUCCUGUGGCUUUAAAACAAGCCCAAAUCAUCACUGUGCUUGACCGUUAGUAUGAGGUGUUUGUACUAUACAGGGAGUGCAGAAUUAUUAGGCAAAUGAGUAUUUUGACCACAUCAUCCUCUUUAUGCAUGUUGUCUUACUCCAAGCUGUAUAGGCUCGAAAGCCUACUACCAAUUAAGCAUGUUAGGUGAUGUGCAU